GAGGGUCCACUCGCAACUGCUGGAGCCGGAGGCGUACGCAGAACCCUGUGCAGCACCUGCCUGCGCCCGGAUGGAGACGCAGCCACUUCGGAGGAGCGUCGAUCAGAGGACGGACCUCAGAGUCCCUGCGGCUCUUCCUGGAGCUCCUGCGCCAUCCUCCCAAGAAAGUGGGACGAAGGUGCCGGCGCCCCAGGAGAUGCGCCCCCUCCUCUCCUCCCCUCAGAGCGGUGACUCAGCCUCGCUAACCCCCGGUCGGCUGAGCUGGGGCGCCGGCGAGAGACAGACGCCCACCUACCCGCCGCCCUGGCCGCGGCUUUCUCGGGACCCCUCCCUUCAUUCAGCCGGGGGCGCCCCCUCCCUGUCCCGUCGAGCUGGUCCCUCAGCGCCCCCAACUUCCCGCCUCUGCAGGAGGAGCUGUCCUCUCAGGACCAGGCGGGGGCGGGGCCUCAGCCGGACUGCCCCGCCCCCAUUGCCCUCCCCCUCCCCGCAGCCGGAAGUGCCUCUUUGCAGGGACAUCUUUGACGUCACAGGGUUUUGACGUCAAGGGCCACGUGCCUGUCCGCAAGCGCUGGGUCAGAGAAGGCCUGGAGACGCGGGGGAGGAAGAGCAGCAGCGCCCCCAGCUGCGGGCGACGGAGCCACCCUGCCCGGGCAGCGCGCCGGCACCUUGGCUCUAGACUGCUUACUGCCCGGGCCGCCCUCAGUAACAGUCUCCAGUCACGGCCACCGACGCCUGGCCCCGCCCCAGGACCGCGGACCCGGCCACCUGCCGCGCCCCCGGCCCCUCUGUCCCUGAGGGUCCCUCAGCCCCGAGCUCGCUGCCCGCGCCGCCGCUGUCCGCGGUGCUGAUCCGGCGCGGGCACCGCCAUCGAGCCGUCCCGUCCCCGGUCCCCAAGGGCUACUGAGGGGCUGCCGGCCUACACGCACAUCUCAUAGCCCCAGGAGUCCAGCGCCCGGCCCCUGCCGCGAGCGCCGUCCCCCGCCCGCGCCGCCGCCGUCCCCCCACCCCGCGGUCCUGACGUCAGCCAAACUGGAGCUGCCGUGGUGCCGUCAGCAGCGCGCGCCCCGCCCCCGCGUCUCCAGGGCAACCGUGGCUUUCGAUUGUUACUGUGGGAACCGGAGGUAACAGUCUACAGCCAUGGUCGCCCCGCAGCACGCCCACGCGCCGCGCCGCGCAGCGCACAGCCGGGGCCGGGAUGGGGGAGGCUCCGAGCAGGAGGAAGCGGAGGCGGCGAGUCGAGAGCCCAUGUGUCUGCGGGGGUGGCGGGAGGUGAGGCGCAGGGAGGCGGGCUACUCCGGAGCCGGGCAUCCACCCAGGCAGAGAAAGAGAAAGAAGCGCGGUCUGCGGAGAAUGCCUGACCGUCCCCCUCAGUGACCGUCCUGUCCUCCUAGCCGAGCUGGUGCUGGUUUCACAGUUAAUCAACACCCACACAUUGUCUUCUUCCCACCCAAGGACACUGAGGUCUUGGAUUAAAAUGCACCUGAUUCUGGCAUCCAGUGGACAUCUGUGGGCAGACUGUAGUGUGUGCACAUGGGAGUAGUGCACUGGGAAGCAGGCGGUCGAACCUGGCAUCACCAUCAACUGGUUGUUAAGGGGCCAUGUUUUUUCUGAGCCUUCCGUAAAAUGAGAUAAUAAUCCCUCCUUUCUGGCAGGCCUGUUGUGAGGACCAAAUAAGAUCAUGUAAGUAAAAAUCUUUGCAAACGGCAGAAAGCUA